ensembl:lncRNA
GUUACAUGCAGCAUGCAUUUGUGAACUUCUGAAAUGACUGCUUAUAACUGAGAUUGAAUCAGGACUCUUUCAAAUGAUUUUAUUUGCAGCAGCACUUAGAUCCAUUUGGCCAAAAGUCUUUUACAAUGCAAGAUCACUGUCACAGAGAUGAUACAAUAUUGAAGAACAAUGGGAAUCUACCUGGGGAAUUAUUUUGCCUCACAUGAAGCUCAAGUAAAUGCACUGCUUUGUAUUCUAUUCCUUUUAAAUUUCUUAACUCUCACUGCCUGUCUCCUUUUUCAUAUUUUUCUGUUCUUCUAGUUUGGUUUGUUUGUUGGUUG